AUCCCAUGAUUUGGACACUUGCUCAUUAGCUCCUUGAACCUGUUCCAUGUCUCAUGAUAGCUCUCUUCAUUUCUCUGUUGGAAAGUUUGAAUUUUCAAUCUAAUUUU
rnacentral:snoRNA from 1 species